ensembl:lncRNA
CUUGAUUUACUGAGAGUUCUUUCUCUCUCUCUCUCUCUCUCUUUUUUUUUUUUCCCCUCUGAGUUUCCCUGACUUUUUCUUAUGGCUGAAUUUCCACAGGACUACGUGGGAAUCUGAGCUACACAGGAGGCUGACAACCAGAAGAAUUGAGCGAUCAUGCCCUCAGACUUUUUCUUUGAUGGUGCAGGUGAAGGAGAACAGAAGCAUGAAAAUACUUCAGCUCUUCAGGCUCUCUUACUCUUUCUCUGCAGAAACCAUUUUGUGCAGUGCUCCAGGAGCCAGCUGCUUCACUUCAAUCAAGCACAGCACAGUUUCAGGGUAACUAAAAGAAAAUGAAGGAAAGGAAAUGCCUCUCCUCCGAAGUAGCUUACAUAAAGGCAUUGGAAAGAAGGCCUAAUUCUUCCACUGGGUAAAAUAUUUUUCAUUUAGACCUGAAAAUGGAUGCAAUUUUCUGCAGAUAAAACUGUUUAGUGAGAUGUGCAGAAUACUGGCAUAUCCAUCUGGCGAAGUUUCACAUGGCAGUGCCCCUGUUUUUCAGUGCUGUUCAUGUCAUUUUUUCAUGGGGCAGAAGCAGAGCUUGCAGCACUCAUAGCCAAGCAGUGCUAAGUGGCGCCAAGCAGUGCUAAGUGGCAUCAAGCAGACUCAUGUCCAACUUUCUGGAAAAGUGCAUGGGAAUUACAAAUGGAGCUCUGAGGAUCAAGCAGGGAGAUGAACAGGGAAUUUGUUAGGGGAUAAAGCAUAAUCUAUGCUAUCAAAGAGAGAGCAGAAAUGAGCCUGAGUCCAGCCAAGAAAAAGAGCAGAAGAGGUGCUCCCAUCACAGCAGAUCAGCUCUGAAGGCCACAUGGUGCCUUGGGUACAUGGAUGAGCUUGGUUUGAAGAGAACAAGAGCAGCUGAGUGUGCAACUUAAAUGAUGUUGGUGCUGUCUCUCCAUGAGUAGGGCCAACAGUGGGCAGCUUCAGGAGGGCAUGUAGGUUUGGAGCAGGUGAAAGUAGCAGUUCUAUGGAAAGCUGCAGUGUUUCAUAGUCAUAGAGUCAUAGACCAGUUUCAUAGAGUCAUAGAAUAGAAUCACAGAAUUGUUUGAUUUGGAAGGGACCUUUAAAGAUCAUCUAAUCCAACUCUCCUGCAAUGAACAGAGACACCUACUGCUACAUCAGACGCUCAGAAUCUCUUCCAGCCUGACCUUGAAAGUCUCCAAGGACAGAUUGUGUUGCUUUGGACUGCUUUGAUUGCUUCAUGAGUCAAGGAAACCAAGCAUACUCAAAAAAAGUUGACUGUAUGUGAGCCAACAAGUACUGCAGGACUUUUCUCUCAUAAAUCUGCAUGUAGUUAAGAAGAUACUUGAAAAUACUUGAAUGUAGUAAAAUUAGAGAAUCUGAGUUUUGACAGCAAUGCUAGGAAUUCCUUGGAUAGAGAUGGGGGAGAAAGAAAGAGGUGCAGGUGCUGUUACUUCAACAUUUUGUUAGCUGCUUGGUGUUACUCUUAGUUCUUAUGCCAGGUGUUGGUGCCAGGUGUUUUGAACAGCAACAACUGUUAGGUACAGCUGUAUCCACCAUGCAAAGUCAAGAAAUUAGACAGUGCUCUGCUUUUUCAAAAAGGACAGCAGAUGUUAAUAUCUUGUAACUUUUGACUGUGAAGGGAAGAACAAACAAAACCUUUUCUACUGACAAUGUUUAAACAAGUUCUAAGGCAGGCUGCUUUAUCCUUUCCUACAGUCAAGAUAAAAUAAACCAAACCAGACUGACCAAAGAAGGGAAGAAUGAAGAAGUUUUUUUUCUACCUAGCCUCCUCCCUCCCCUUAUCCACCCCCUAUUCUCUGCAACAAAAAGUUGAUUGAAUCAUGAAAGUUGGGAAAUUCAGCAUUAUAGAUUACAAGAAAUGCAGCUCGUCUUCUUUCUUUAUUGAGAGACAGAGCUGCCUUCAAGCCACUGUUUCAGCCAGCCCUUUUCAGAGCCCUGUUAACAACAAUCUGGCUGAGCAUGGCAGUUUGACAGGACUGGGAUGAUUCUUAUUGUUUUGCUAUUGCCUUUCAGUCAAGCUGCUGCCAUUCUGCUGUUUGGCUACUUUGACUGACAGUGUGCAAGUGCCAUGUUUCUGACUUGGGGACCUUUCUGUGGUCAAGUUGCGUGCAGCUUUGCAGAUGAGAAUUCAAAUGAGUAGAAGUCACAAAAUUAAGACAUUGAAAUUACAGCCCCCACACCAGUGUGCAGUCAACCACAAAUUCAAAACAUGGUGUGGAAUGAUGGGAAGAGCAAUGUGAGAAUCACUUCAGCACAGAGUUUAGCCCCAUGUUUUUCAUGAAAUGAAAUCUAUAUUUUGCUUUAUACAAUGGACAAAACUUGCUGAGGGGUGAUUAUCUUCUGUUUUCUGUUUUGAGUCCAUUUACUCUGUGCAGAAUUUUUGUUUUAUUUCAAAAUAAGGUGCAUGUGAAGGAGUGGAUCACACUCCCCCCCUGGUGGCAGGACCAAACUAGUGGAAGGAAAUCUUCUGUCAGCACGUCAGAACAAAGGUGUUUCUCCUGGCAGCCCUUCACCUCCUGCAAGCUGAAUAUACCAGAAUGCUGAUGGCAGCUUUUAUAGACCAACCUCUGCUGAGCACACAGCUGCAAGGAAAUGAACCCAUGCGUUAAUGUGCAACACUGUACUGCGUAGACUUAGCUGAGGAAUAAUUUGUACAAAUUGCUGAUGGAAACCAAAUCAAAAGAAAGAAGCCUGCUCUGAUUGCUGCUUGGGAGGGACAAAUCUAGAGGGCCCACUGGACCAGCUAUGGGGCCUGGAGACUGUUCUGUACCUCUGCACAGUGAUAGUGCUCUCUCCCACCUUUUAUACUCAUAGAACACAAAUGUCCCAUCUGCAAGAGAAGUAACAUGAAAAGGAGCAACAUCUGCAACAGCUGUGUGUAUCAGUAGCUAACCCUUGGGAGGACUCAUGACUGGGCUCUUUAGAAAGGUCCUGAUCAAAAUUUAAAGCAAAGGCAGCAACCCACUUUAAGAAUAGAGACACAACACAUGUUUUGGAAAGGUAUCUUUUGUGAAACAGCACGCAAUUAAGAAAAAAAUAUGUUUGAAUAUAGACUUCUAUUGAGUUUUGCUAUUAAUAUAUGUCAAGUUGGUGUUCUUCUUAAAAGACAGUCACUGAAUUAUUAUCAAGUUGUAUGCAUAUAUAAUUAAGAGACUGCUGUGUGAAAUGCAUCUUUUUAAAAUGGUCCCUUAUUACUCAUAUGAAUACUUGAUUCUGAAGAUGCUGUUUAGUGGAGGUUAAGCAAAAAAACUCAUAAGCAAAUCCCCAUGUGAGUUGAGUGCAUAAAUACCCAUUCUAGUCAAAGAAGAAUCAAUGAGUGCAGGUGCUUUGGGGUUUUUGUUUCUUUAUUUUUGUUUUGUUUUUAAUUAGCUGGUUCUUACUGUUUUUAUUAAUCUGUUACUAAUAGUGAUAGCGAUCCAAAAUCUGAGUUCACUAUCUGUGUUAACGGUUGUACAACAGUAGCUCUUCUGGGCACUGACAGAGCUCAAGGCAUUCAUUCAUGAAAGUUCUCAGCUUUUGUUCAGUGACUUCUUAAGGGAACUGUCAUUUUGGUGACAUACUAGGCUAGUCUGGGAUAUAUAAGAAUGAGUGUAAGUAUUUUUAAGGUUUCUUCAGUUAGGGUAGGACCUUUUGUUUGACCUCUCAGGUAAAUGCCCUGAGCGUAGACCCCAUACACAUAUGCAAACUCCUAAGAAACAAUUAUGUCCUACACUGAUGCGGACACACAAGAUUCUCCAGUUAUUUGUCAUUUCCCAGAGCACAACGCCUGUAGUCUGCUCAAAAGUUGUUUUUUUUUUCCAGGAAUUCUAAAUGUUAGAAGAUUCUUACAUGCUGACUAAAAAAAAAAUAAAAAAAUAAUAAAAAAAAUCAUCUCCAACUGUGCAAAAGACUCAUGGACCUAGACAAAACAAUGAAACAUCUGAGCUUCUACCCUAACACUAUGUUCUUUGAAGUUAUGCCAGAUGGUUUAGGUUCUUUAUAAUUUCUCAUAUGCAAAAGUCUUUCGUACAGCCUGGUGUUACUGCAACAUCAUGGUAUUUGCAGUGCUUAUUUAAAUGCUAAGUGCGUUCCAAGAGUUACUGAAGAAGACAACAUCCUCAUGCUGAGAAAGGGUACUUGUGAGGCACCCAGUACAAUUCAGCUUGUUCCCAAUCCUCCCCUUGAAGAAUACUGAGUAAAAUCCUCUGUUUAGAGAAGCU